AUUGAACGCUGGCGGCAGGCCUAACACAUGCAAGUCGAACGAGUGGCGGACGGGUGAGUAAUGUCUGGGAAACUGCCUGAUGGAGGGGGAUAACUACUGGAAACGGUAGCUAAUCCCGCAUACCCUCCGAUGUGCCCAGAUGGGAUUUGCUAGUUGGUGGGGUAACGGCUCCCCAAGGCGAAGAUCCAUAGCUGGUCUGAGAGGAGGACCAGCCACACUGUAACUGAGACACGUUCCAGACUCCGACGGGAUGCAGCAGUGGGGAAGAUUUCACAAUGGGCGCAAGCCUGAUUCAGCAAUGCCGCGUGUAUGAAGAAGGCCUUCGGGUUGUAAAGUACUUUCAGCGGGGAGGCGUUACCCGCAGAAGAAGCACCGGCUAACUCCGUGCCAGCCGCCGCGGUAAUUC
rnacentral:rRNA from 1 species